rnacentral:lncRNA from 14 species
AUUAACCCNUUAAUGAGCCCAUUAAUAGGCCCAUUCAUUAACGAGCCCAUUCAUUAAUAGGCCCAUUCAUUAAUGAGCCCAUUCAUUCAUCCAUUAACCACAUUCCCAGGCCCCAUUUUGGGGCCAAACCCCCUCUUUUUGGGGCCACCCCCCCUUGCAUCACUGUUAAGGGGGGGGGGGAUGCUCUGAUGUCCUCAAUGACCCCCAAAAUCCACCUUUUUCACCUCAAAACAACCCCCCCCCCCAUCUUUGGGGGUCAAACACUGGGUUUUUUGGGCCACUUUGGGGGCCACAGCAGCGCACCAGCCCCGUUUUUGGGGGCAAACCCGGCCUUUUUGGUCCAUUCCUGGGGAGCACCAACCUCCGGUCACCGGCACCUGCGGGGGGGAACCCCAAAAUCCCGGGUUUUGGACCCAAAACCAGCUCCAAUGGCGAGCCCCAAAACUCCUCUUUUUUGGGGAAUUUUUACCCAUUUUUACCUGUUUUUGGCAGGUUUCACCUGGUUUUCCCCAUUUUUAAUGGGGUUUGUCCCAUUUUCACCUCUUUUCCGGCAGUUUUACGACUUUUUGUCCAUUUUUAACCAUUUUUACCCAUUUUUACCCAUUUUCACCUUUUUCUCCAUUUUCACCUUUUUUACCUCAUUUUUGCCAUUUUUACCUCAUUUUCACUCAAUUUUUCCCAUUUUUACCUCGUUUUCACCUCAAUUUUUCCCAUUUUUAAGCCAUUUUCUCCAUUUCCACCUUAUUUUCACCUUUUUCCAUUUUUAUCAUUUUUCCCCAUUUUUUACCUUUUUCUCCAUUUUUACCUCGUUUUUGCCAUUUUUACCUCAUUUUCUCCAUUUUCUCCAUUUUUACCUUUUUUUUCCAUUUUUACCAUUUUUCCCCAUUUUCACCUCAGUUUCCUCUUCUUU